rnacentral:rRNA from 1 species
AUUGAACGCUGGCGGCAGGCCUAACACAUGCAAGUCGGACGAGCGGCGGACGGGUGAGUAAUGUAUGGGAAUCUGCCCGAUGGAGGGGGAUAACUACUGGAAACGGUAGCUAAUACCGCAUACUAUCGGAUGUACCCAUAUGGGAUUAGCUAGUAGGUGGGGUAACGGCUCACCUAGGCGACGAUCCCUAGCUGGUCUGAGAGGAUGACCAGCCACACUGGGACUGAGACACGGCCCAGACUCCUACGGGAGGUAGCAGUGGGGAAUAUUGCACAAUGGGCGCAAGCCUGAUGCAGCCAUGCCGCGUGUAUGAAGAAGGCCUUCGGGUUGUAAAGUUCUUUCAGUGGGGAGGCGUUACUUACAGAAGAAGCACCGGCUAACUCCGUGCCAGCAGCCGCGGUAAUAC